rnacentral:tRNA from 2 species
GCACCGGUAGCUCAGUCGGUAGAGCACCUGCCUUUUAAGCAGAGGGUCGCAGGUUCGAUUCCUGCCCGGUGCACCA